rnacentral:rRNA from 1 species
GAUGAACGCUGGCGGCGUGCCUAAUACAUGCAAGUCGAGCGAACGGACGAGAAGCUUGCUUUUCUGAUGUUAGCGGCGGACGGGUGAGUAACACGUGGAUAACCUACCUAUAAGACUGGGAUAACUUCGGGAAACCGGAGCUAAUACCGGAUAAUAUUUUGAACCGCAUGGUUCAAAAGUGAAAGACGGUCUUGCUGUCACUUAUAGAUGGAUCCGCGCUGCAUUAGCUAGUUGGUAAGGUAACGGCUUACCAAGGCAACGAUGCAUAGCCGACCUGAGAGGGUGAUCGGCCACCCUGGAACUUGGACACGGUCCAGACUCCUACGGGAGGCAGCAGUAGGGAAUCUUCCGCAAUGGGCGAAAGCCUGACGGAGCAACGCCGCGUGAGUGAUGAAGGUCUUCGGAUCGUAAAACUCUGUUAUUAGGGAAGAACAUAUGUGUAAGUAACUGUGCACAUCUUGACGGUACCUAAUCAGAAAGCCACGGCUAACUACGUG